UACGUAGGGGGCAAGCGUUUGUCCGGAUUUAUUGGGCGUAAAGCGCACGCAGGCGGUCUUUUACGUUUUGAGUGACAGGUGGGAGCUUAACUCUCACAGGCCUUGAAAUACGGGAAGACUUGAGGGCUUCAGAGGGACGCGGAAUUCCAGGUGGAGCGGUGAAAUGCGUAGAGAUCUGGAAGAACACCAAAGGCGAAGGCAGCGUCCUGGGAAGCAUCUGAGCGCUCAUGUGCGAAAGCUAGGGGAGCGAAACGGG
rnacentral:rRNA from 1 species